rnacentral:rRNA from 1 species
CCCUUAGAUGUUCUGGGCCGCACGCGCGCUACACUGAUGCAUUCAACGAGUGUACCUUGGCCGAGAGGCCUGGGCAAUCUUUUGAACGUGCAUCGUGAUAGGGAUAGAUUAUUGCAAUUAUUAAUCUUGAACGAGGAAUUCCUAGUAAACGCAGAUCAUCAAUCUGCAUUGAUUACGUCCCUGCCCUUUGUACACACCGCCCGUCGCACCUACCGAUUGAAUGGUCCGGUGAAGCCUCGGGAUUGUGGCGGUUGCCUUUAUUGGUGGCCGCCGCGAGAACUUGUCUAAACCUUAUCAUCUAGAGGAAGGUGAAGUCGUAACA